UAAAAUCUUAAAAAGAAAUAACAUAGAAGAAAGUUUGUGUGACCUUGGGUUUUUAUGUUAAACAUACAGGUAGCUCGUAUGUAUGUAUGUUAAAAAUACAGGUAUUUUUGAGAUACACACUAAAAGCACAAUCCAAGA